rnacentral:rRNA from 1 species
GACGAACGCUGGCGGCGUGCCUAAUACAUGCAAGUCGAACGAGAGCGACCGGUGCUUGCACUGGUCAAUCUAGUGGCGAACGGGUGAGUAACACGUGGGUAACCUGCCCAUCAGAGGGGGAUAACAUUCGGAAACGGAUGCUAAAACCGCAUAGGUCUUCGAACCGCAUGGUUUGAAGAGGAAAAGAGGCGCAAGCUUCUGCUGAUGGAUGGACCCGCGGUGCAUUAGCUAGUUGGUGAGGUAACGGCUCACCAAGGCCGUGAUGCAUAGCCGACCUGAGAGGGUGAUCGGCCACAUUGGGACUGAGACACGGCCCAAACUCCUACGGGAGGCAGCAGUAGGGAAUCUUCCGCAAUGGACGCAAGUCUGACGGAGCAACGCCGCGUGAGUGAAGAAGGUUUUCGGAUCGUAAAACUCUGUUGUUAGAGAAGAACAAGUGC